UACGUAGGGUGCAAGCGUUGUCCGGAAUUACUGGGCGUAAAGCGUGCGUAGGUGGUUCGUUAAGUCUGAUGUGAAAGCCCUGGGCUCAACCUGGGAAUGGCAUUGGAUACUGGCGACCUAGAGUGCGGUAGAGGGGUGUGGAAUUCCCGGUGUAGCAGUGAAAUGCGUAGAUAUCGGGAGGAACAUCUGUGGCGAAGGCGACACCCUGGACCAGCACUGACACUGAGGCACGAAAGCGUGGGGAGCAAACAGG
rnacentral:rRNA from 1 species